GACGAACGCUGGCGGCGUGCUUAACACAUGCAAGUGGAGCGACGAACCAGGCUUCGGCCUGGGGCAGAGCCGCGAACGGGUGAGUAACACGUGGGUAACCUGCCUCGAUGACUGGGACAACCCGGGGAAACCCGGGCUAAUACCGGAUGUGCUGCACUCGCACACGUGAGUGUAGGAAAGGAAGCUUCGGCCUCCGUAUCGGGAUGGGCCCGCGGCCCAUUAGCUUGUUGGUGAGGUAAUGGCUCACCAAGGCUGCGAUGGGUAGCUGGUCUGAGAGGACGAUCAGCCACACUGGGACUGAGACACGGCCCAGACUCCUACGGGAGGCAGCAGUGGGGAAUCUUGCGCAAUGCGCGAAAGCGUGACGCAGCAACGCCGC
rnacentral:rRNA from 1 species